AUGAUUUGCUUGUUAUCUCUUUGUGUCACAGUAUGUGAGACGUUGAUCAGUGCAGAUCAGGACUUGACUCCUCUGUUUGAAUCAACUACCCCUAUGGAUGGUGUAUCUAGCUUCCCAAUGAAGCUCAAGCAGAUUGUAGGAAAAUAUAUGCAUCGCAGGUCUGAACACCUGGCAAUUCUGAAGCUUACAUGUAAGAUGGUCAUAUCAAUGAUGAAACACAGGGGCGACUAUAUGAAAGAAGAACUGUUAAGCUUGAUGGACACUCUGUCUACAGCUUCAAAAGAGAUGUUUCUUUUUGAUGGCUCUAUGGUUUUUUACAUUCAGGAAGACAGUGGCGCUACAACCACGCGGGAGCCUUUCAGGAGUCUGGCUUCCCUCGUGAAAGAAGCACAGGAACUGGUGGACAAAAGAAAUGAACUUUGA
rnacentral:rRNA from 1 species